rnacentral:rRNA from 1 species
GUACCCAACAAGGAAGUGACGGCUAACUACGUGCCAGCAGCCGCGGUAAAACGUAGGUCACAAGCGUUGUCCGGAAUUACUGGGUGUAAAGGGAGCGCAGGCGGGAAGACAAGUUGGAAGUGAAAUCUAUGGGCUCAACCCAUAAACUGCUUUCAAAACUGUUUUUCUUGAGUAGUGCAGAGGUAGGCGGAAUUCCCGGUGUAGCGGUGGAAUGCGUAGAUAUCGGGAGGAACACCAGUGGCGAAGGCGGCCUACUGGGCACCAACUGACGCUGAGGCUCGAAAGUGUGGGUAGCAAACAGGAUUAGAUACCCUGGUAGUCCACACCGUAAACGAUGAUUACUAGGUGUUGGAGGAUUGACCCCUUCGGUGCCGCAGUUAACACAAUAAGUAAUCCACCUGGGGA